UGAUACAGUGCCACGGGCUUGUGCGA
rnacentral:piRNA from 1 species